rnacentral:lncRNA from 10 species
CAGAAAUACAAUACCUUUUCAAAUUGCCAGUCAAGAGUGAAGUAUGCCAAGAAAAAAGGAGAGGCUCCUCAAUAACCCUCAAGACAUAAUGUCAUUUUCUCUCCUGUGGAUGAAGACUCUCUAUCUGCUGAAUAUUUAUUAGUCUGCUGGGUCACCUGCUAGAAAACAGACAAUUCUCCAGCAACUUCAAACACUCUUCUUCACUGAACUACAGUUUGGUAUGAGACGUCAAAGGAUAAGAAUGUGCAUACCUAAAUGGUCAAAUGAAGAUGAAUGUUCCAUAUGGCUUUUGCCCCAUACUGCCCAAGACUGUGUUAAAAACUAAAUACAUCAGGAUGCUCUAAGCCACUGAAGAGCCAUGUUUGCCAGUCACAUUAUACUGGGCUUCUCUGGUUAUACAAAGGGACACCUAAUGAAGAUAUUCUGUUGAUAUAAAAGCAGUCUCAUGGACAGUAAUCUUUCUAUAUCCUUAGGCAGCCACAAUACUGCCUGUCAAAUAUAAUUACCAGCAGAAGAACAGAAAACUAACACUUACCUAUUACCUUGUUAACAUGUCCACAAUGAGCCAAUAUGAAAUGAACAUAAUAAUGGUGUCAUUUGUGGGGAAAAGCCUGAGAGACAUGGUUUAUAGUGCUCACCAAGGUCUGAAUGUCAGAAAGAAUAUUAUGUGAUAAGACUAUUUUAACAUGCAAAUAUAAUGGGCCAGGUUUUCCGUUUGGUUUCCUGCUAUAUCCA